GAGCAGUGGAUUGCGCGCGACGCCGUGAACCCGGCCCCGCGAGUUCGAUCCUCCCCUACGACCACCAACAGUGACGAUUAUUUUAAUUGUUCACGGGCCUCCCCUAGUUCGACUGAGCAUCAAGGUGUCCGAGGACUCGUCCUUUAUGAGAGGCCCCGUGAUCUCGGAGACAACCCUGCGUCGAAUUAUAUGGGCCCAGGUGAAGUUGGAUGACGGAGCCUCCCCCACGCUGUACAAGAUGCGGGGAGGGCGGGUCACUUGAGCACUCUUCACCACGCUGGGUCAGCGCGGGUUGUUGGUUGUUGAAAGGCGUGGAAGCAAUUCGACAUCGGAGCAUAGUGCAGCACAACGAUUGCUUGCUGGUGCACCGCCCUCUGCUGGCAACGUGGCCCCGCAGAAGCCUAUAGCACCUGGUCUCGCACGGUGAUCGCCCAUCCCACGUGCGCUCCAGGCUGAAGCUCUACUUAGCUGCCGAAAACGAGAUCGGAUGUCUUGCCGGCGAUGUUAUUAUUUGCGUGUAAAGUUGUAAUACUAAUGAUGAGAGCUUACAAGCCUCUGUCAAUCCACCGCUUGAUGGAGGCCUCCAGCGACCCGUAUCGGCCGUCAACGUGGUUUCACUAAAGUUCAGGUGGCACUCGGGGAUCGAACUCAGGUUGUUUGGCUUCACAGCCGAUGUGUGCUAACCAUUGCACCACAACUACACUCCUCGUUCGCAUACGAAUCAAGCAACUGGACGUUGUGUGGGGGGUCUCAUCAUGUGGGACAGUUUUGA